GAUGAACGCUGGCGGCGUGCUUAACACAUGCAAGUCGAACGGAAAGGCUCCUGCUUGCAGGGGUACUCGAGUGGCGAACGGGUGAGUAACACGUGGGUGAUCUGCCCUGCACUUCGGGAUAAGCCUGGGAAACUGGGUCUAAUACCGGAUAGGACGAUGGUUUGGAUGCCAUUGUGGAAAGGUUUUCGGUGUGGGAUGAGCUCGCGGCCUAUCAGCUUGUUGGUGGGGUAAUGGCCUACCAAGGCGUCGACGGGUGGCCGGCCUGAGAGGGUGUACGGCCACAUUGGGACUGAGAUACGGCCCAGACUCCUACGGGAGGCAGCAGUGGGGAAUAUUGCACAAUGGGCGCAAGCCUGAUGCAGCGACGCCGCGUGGGGGAUGACGGCCUUCGGGUGGUAAACUCCUUUCGCUAGGGACGAAGCGCAAGUGACGGUACCUGGAGAAGAAGCACCGGCUAACUACGU
rnacentral:rRNA from 1 species